rnacentral:rRNA from 1 species
UACGGGGGGGGCAAGCGUUGUUCGGAAUUACUGGGCGUAAAGGGUGCGUAGGCGGCUUUCUAAGUUGGAUGUGAAAACUCUGGGCUCAACCCAGAGCCUGCAUCCAAAACUGGAGAGCUAGGGUUCUGGAGGGGAAAGCGGAAUUCCUGGUGUAGCGGUGAAAUGCGUAGAUAUCAGGAGGAACACCGGUGGCGAAGGCGGCUUUCUGGACAGAUACCGACGCUGAGGCACGAAAGCUAGGGGAGCAAACGGG